rnacentral:rRNA from 1 species
UACGUAGGGGGCUAGCGUUGUCCGGAAUCAUUGGGCGUAAAGCGCGCGUAGGCGGCCCGGUAAGUCCGUUGUAAAAAGUCAAAGGCUCAACCUUUGAAUGUCAGUGGAUACUGCCGGGCUAGAGUCCGGAAGAGGCGAGUGGAACUCCUGGUGUAGCGGUGGAAUGCGCAGAUAUCAGGAAGAACACCGACGGCGAAGGCAGCUCGCUGGGACGGUACUGACGCUGAGGCGCGAAAGCGUGGGGAGCGAACAGG